AGCCGCGCAGUAGGCACAUAGCGAACUAUUCUUUCGCCUUUUACUAAAGAAUACCGUGUGUCUGCUGCAAUUAAGUGGCAUACGCUACUUUUUGGAGGGGUAUUCCUUUAUUUGGAACU